ACACGCUUGGCGCAAUGGUUAGCGUAUCCGGCUUAUAUCCGGACGGUUCUGGGUUCGAGUCCCAGAGCGUGUA
rnacentral:tRNA from 1 species